rnacentral:rRNA from 1 species
ACACGACUACAUUAGAUACCCGGGUAGUCCCAGCCCUAAACGGUGCGCGUUAGGUGUAUCGGUGACCACGAGUCACCGAGGUGCCGAAGGGAAACCGUGAAACGUGCCGCCUGGGAAGUACGGUCGCAAGGCUGAAACUUAAAGGAAUUGGCGGGGAGCACCACAAGAGGUGGAGGCUGCGGUUCAAUUGGACUCAACGCCGGAAAACUCAUCGGGAGCGACAGCAGUAUGAUUGCCAGGUUGAUGACCUUGCUUGACAAGCUG